GACGAACGCUGGCGGCGUGCUUAACACAUGCAAGUCGAGCGAGGCCCCUCCUUCGGGAGGGUGUCCUAGCGGCGAACGGGUGAGUAACACGUGGGCAACCUGCCCUCAGCUCUGGGAUAACUCCGGGAAACCGGGGCUAAUACCGGAUACGACCUCCACGGGCAUCUGCGGAGGUGGAAAGUUUUUCGGCUGAGGAUGGGCCCGCGGCCUAUCAGCUAGUUGGUGGGGUAGUGGCCCACCAAGGCGACGACGGGUAGCCGGCCUGAGAGGGCGACCGGCCACACUGGGACUGAGACACGGCCCAGACUCCUACGGGAGGCAGCAGUGGGGAAUAUUGCGCAAUGGGCGGAAGCCUGACGCAGCGACGCCGCGUGAGGGACGAAGGCCUUCGGGUUGUAAACCUCUUUCGGCAGGGACGAAGCGAAAGUGACGGUACCUGCAGAAGAAGCACCGGCCAACUACGUG
rnacentral:rRNA from 1 species